rnacentral:lncRNA from 1 species
GCAAGAGGCUGGCGCGUGCGCAGAGCGGCGGGGCGGCAGCGCGCGCGGGGGAUGGCGCAUGCGCACGGCCGACUGGGGGGGGGUGUUCUGAGGAGGCUUAGGCGGAGGGGCCGUGGGGCUGGCGGUCGGCGCCGGUUCGGGGCUGCGAGGGUGCCGCUGAGGGGACCUGGGGGAAGAUGGGCCGAAAGCAUCAGGUGGGCGCCUCCAGCCGCUCACGUCGGACAAACUCACAGCUUUGGCAGCCAGUCGUGCAGCGUGCUUGCAGAAAGCGGGCCUUGGCUUUGAGCUGGUGUGAGGUGAAAAAAACGUCACCAGUAGUUAAAAGAGCUGAGCUGAAUCGCUGUUCAUCUGGUAACUGGAAGCACUGGCUUGUGAGUACCAGCAACAGCUUUCAAGAUUGUCUUCCGGGAAUAGCGGCACUAGGACAGUCUGUUGCUUGGAAACCCACCUGGCCAUACAAGGUAGCAUUCUGAGAUCCCGAAGCUCUCCCCUGGAGAAAGAUGAGAUGCCUGAUUAUUCAGAAAGUAUCAGUGAUCAACGCGCUAGUAUCCCACACAACAAUGAGAUGUGACUGACUUGUUGCCAGAUCUUGUCACAGACACUGCUGGCCUCGAGCUUAGCUGAUAAUAAAUCACCCUGCAGAGCUCUCA